CAUAUAUAAAGAUCUACUGUGGAAUUAACUCAACUUUAAGUAUACAUGUAUUUCCAAUGAAGAUCUACUGUUGAAUUGACUAACAAAUCAAUAGCUUGCCAAAUGUCUGUCAAUCUUUUCUGUUUCUGUUUCUGUUUCUGGUGUCAAUUCAAAGACACCAUCCCAAUCCGAAUUUGGGACUGCCAAGAAAUGCAAAGAGAAGAAAGAGAUUCUCUUUUCUUAUUAAUUAUUUUUCAGAACAUACAAAAUAGUCCUUUCGUCACAUGUGUUGGAUUGUAUAUAUUUCAGAAUAUACGGACUAUACAAGUUGCGAGCAGUUAAUGUGCAAACUGCGAGAUGAGGAUAUAAGCUUAAGAGGAACCUAAGAAGCACCUUGCAGCACAACAGCGAUUCUUUAUUCCAAAACUCUGAUCUUAUGUCCAAGUAAAGCAAUUUGCACAUACUAAAG
rnacentral:lncRNA from 1 species